rnacentral:rRNA from 1 species
UACAGAGGUCUCAAGCGUUUGUUCGGAUUCAUUGGGCGUAAAGGGUGCGUAGGUGGCGGGGGCAAGUCAGGUGUGAAAUCUCGGGGGCUCAACCCCCGAAACUGCACUUGAUACUGCUUUUGCUCGAGUACUGGAGAGGAGACUGGAAUUUACGGUGUAGCAGUGAAAUGCGUAGAUAUCGUAAGGAGACCAGUGGCGAAGGCGAGUCUCUGGACAGUUACUGACACUGAGGCACGAAGGCCAGGGGGAGCAAACGGG